rnacentral:rRNA from 1 species
AGAGUUUGAUCCUGGCUCAGGACGAACGCUGGCGGCGCGCCUAACACAUGCAAGUCGAACGAGAGAGAAGGAGCUUGCUUCUUCGAUCGAGUGGCGAACGGGUGAGUAACGCGUGAGGAACCUGCCUCAAAGAGGGGGACAACAGUUGGAAACGACUGCUAAUACCGCAUAAGCCCACAGGUCGGCAUCGACCAGAGGGAAAAGGAGCAAUCCGCUUUGAGAUGGCCUCGCGUCCGAUUAGCUAGUUGGUGAGGUAACGGCCCACCAAGGCGACGAUCGGUAGCCGGACUGAGAGGUUGAACGGCCACAUUGGGACUGAGACACGGCCCAGACUCCUACGGGAGGCAGCAGUGGGGAAUAUUGCACAAUGGGGGAAACCCUGAUGCAGCGACGCCGCGUGGAGGAAGAAGGUCUUCGGAUUGUAAACUCCUGUUGUUGAGGAAGAUAAUGACGGUACUCAACAAGGAAGUGACGGCUAACUACGUGCCAGCAGCCGCGGUAAAACGUAGGUCACAAGCGUUGUCCGGAAUUACUGGGUGUAAAGGGAGCGCAGGCGGGAAGACAAGUUGGAAGUGAAAUCUAUGGGCUCAACCCAUAAACUGCUUUCAAAACUGUUUUUCUUGAGUAGUGCAGAGGUAGGCGGAAUUCCCGGUGUAGCGGUGGAAUGCGUAGAUAUCGGGAGGAACACCAGUGGCGAAGGCGGCCUACUGGGCACCAACUGACGCUGAGGCUCGAAAGUGUGGGUAGCAAACAGGAUUAGAUACCCUGGUAGUCCACACCGUAAACGAUGAUUACUAGGUGUUGGAGGAUUGACCCCUUCAGUGCCGCAGUUAACACAAUAAGUAAUCCACCUGGGGAGUACGACCGCAAGGUUGAAACUCAAAGGAAUUGACGGGGGCCCGCACAAGCAGUGGAGUAUGUGGUUUAAUUCGAAGCAACGCGAAGAACCUUACCAAGUCUUGACAUCCCUUGACGAUGCUGGAAACAGUAUUUCUCUUCGGAGCAAGGAGACAGGUGGUGCAUGGUUGUCGUCAGCUCGUGUCGUGAGAUGUUGGGUUAAGUCCCGCAACGAGCGCAACCCUUAUGGUCAGUUACUACGCAAGAGGACUCUGGCCAGACUGCCGUUGACAAAACGGAGGAAGGUGGGGAUGACGUCAAAUCAUCAUGCCCCUUAUGAUUUGGGCUACACACGUGCUACAAUGGCGUAAACAAAGGGAAGCGAGAUUGUGAGAUGGAGCAAAUCCCAAAAAUAACGUCUCAGUUCGGAUUGUAGUCUGCAACUCGACUACAUGAAGCUGGAAUCGCUAGUAAUCGCGAAUCAGCAUGUCGCGGUGAAUACGUUCCCGGGUCUUGUACACACCGCCCGUCACACCAUGGGAGUCAGUAACGCCCGAAGUCAGUGACCCAACCGUAAGGAGGGAGCUGCCGAAGGUGGGACCGAUAA